AAGUUGAAAUUGCAUUCUACUAUCAAUUCUCUCAUAAAUUGGCCACAAGUCACAGGCACCCAUAGCUUUCUUUGUAAGAGGCAAGAAAUAGUGGUCCAGAUUUGGCUCAGAGGCUAUAGUUUGCCCACCCCUGCUUUAUACAACUGGAAGAAAGAUGUCAAUUACCUACCUGCCCCGAGAUCAAUGAUACACAUUAGAGAGGUGGCUGGUAGGGGACCAGUGUGGCAGCCUCUUGUCCCCAGACUAAGCAAAACCAUCUGGCCCUCGGAGGAAUUGAACCCAUAUUAUCAACCUCAAUUAGCACCAUGUUUUACUCAAUUGAAGAAAUAAAAGUUGCAAUUAAUUCAACUGUCCUCGUCUUAGUCAUUAUCAAUUGCAAUAUUCUAUCCUUAUUUAGCUUCUAAAACCCAAAAGUUCAUGCUCCCGGACAAAGUACAUGGGAAAGUAUGAUAUGCCAGCAUUGUCACUAUUACAACUUGAAUGACUGCAGGAGAUUGUAUUUUUAAACUGCCUCAUCAUAGCCCUAUCCUCAAAUGUAUGCCAGGACUUCCAGAGAAGCAAAGUCACAUGGCUGUUUAUUCAAUGAGAAUUCAUGUUUAUCAUCUCUCAUCCCAAUCCUACUUCCCCUACACUAUUCUCCUGCUUGGCUCCUUGGAAAAGGAAACUGUCCUCCCUUCAGUUACAUUUUUGUCAUGUUCAAUGAGUUAAUUUUGUUGGCUCAGUUAUAUAUUUUAGUAUAAAUUAAAUUCAAGUUUCCUUUAUUUGAGUCUUUGGGCCAGUUGCAUUGCUUUAUACUUUCUGGUGUUCUCAAUUUCAACUUUGCUAGCAUUUAGAAGGCAAAGGCACUGUCUAGCAGAAGUAAUAAUCCUUUUAACUACCUAAUUGCUUCUGUUGGUUACCGCCGUUUGUCUUCUAGACUCAAGGCAUUGACUCUAGAUGACUUCCAAC
rnacentral:lncRNA from 10 species